rnacentral:rRNA from 1 species
CAGUAGCCGCGGUAAUACGAAGGGUGCAAGCGUUAAUCGGAAUUACUGGGCGUAAAGCGUGCGUAGGCGGUUUGUUAAGUCUGUUGUGAAAUCCCCGGGCUCAACCUGGGAAUGGCAAUGGAUACUGGCAAGCUAGAGUGUGUCAGAGGAUGGUGGAAUUCCCGGUGUAGCGGUGAAAUGCGUAGAGAUCGGGAGGAACAUCAGUGGCGAAGGCGGCCAUCUGGGACAACACUGACGCUGAGGCACGAAAGCGUGGGGAGCAAACAGGAUUAGAGACCCCGGUAGUCCCUGUCUCUUAUAC